GUCGUUCGAAGCUCUAGGCACCAUUGCAAAUGUGAAACGUUUUCAAGUUGUGCUAAAAUGACAGGAGAUGUGUGCAAAAUGAGUCAUAUUUUAUGGUGUUUUUUUUUUCUUUGAAGGUAUGAUAAGCUAUGAAUCAAGUCACAAGUCUUGAAAAUUGGGAUAAAACAGUGAUGGACACAAGUCCCGGGCUCCAAAAGUGUCACGGCGGUCUUCCCAGACGUUGUCUGCCCAACCGUCACGAGAACCCGUGGGGCGGUGAUGUUAUGAAAAGUUGCACAGGGUUUUGCCUUGGAACGCUGACACUUAUUGCCGACUGACGAAGCUUCAUUGAGUCUUCGCUGUGCUCUUGGGGCUGAGCCUAAAGCCAAAGUGGAUCGCUGCCCAAGAAUGAGCAGCAACAUGUCUCCCCACUUCUACUUGUGAAGUUGAUUGCCACGAUGACGUUUGAAAGAGGCGCAUCGCUGCAUCGAGAGUUUUUCCCAAUAAUAUGUGGACACGCAUCGGAAGAUGUUCGCAGUGCAGUAUUGCGGCAGUCCCAGCUGACUCAGCCAUCGGGAGAUGGACUGGUGCUUCAUGGUCCACAAACGUGUGCAC